GCCAGAACCUGCCUCCUGAAACCUGACUGAGGCUUAAAGGAUCCCUGGGUCAGAUGAGAGCACAGGUGUCAGCUCUGCGCUAGAAACCAGAGAUUUGGCAAUGAUGAUGAUAAUGUCUUGUCCUCAGAAAACUUAGCAAACUUCUACAGCACAAAGGCAUUGGCCCUUCUGCACAAGUGUGAUUUCUGCCCAGCAUGGGAAGAAACUGUAAACCACAACGGGGCAAGGCCAGGUAAUGAUCGGACACGUGCCUCAAAGUCAUUGGAUUUGGUUCUGUGAGCAGCUGAAGAGCCCCUGAUGUCAUCAGAGUAUGUUUCUGACUUCAGAAUCUUUCAAGGAAACACAUUCUAAUCCAACUCAGAGACAGAGCAUGAGCAGGGGAGGGGCAGAGAGAGGGAGACACAGAAUCCGAAGAG